UAACCAACAAACAGAGCUCUCAUCACUCUUUUGUUGAUAGCCUGAAACUGAGAAAUCUCACAGAGCGUGUGGAUAUCUCAUAGAGCUCGACGAUCAAGGAGAUCUCAUCGAGCUCGACGAUCAUCGAUUAGGUACGAUCGCACAGCUCCGAUUAGGUACGAUCUCGAUUUUGUGACUCUUCCUCUCUCUUGGUGUUGUGUUUCUCAGCUUUGGUUAGGUCUUUCCGAUUUCCCUCUGCCUCGCUCAGAUCCAUAUCCAUAUCCAAAAAGAAAAAAGGUCAGUCACUACACUCACUUUUCGUCAUCUCAUAAAUAGAUAGAGAAAUACAUACUUGAUGACAUGUUGUGGCUUUGAAAGCAAAAAUAAUAAUACCCUGUCUACUUUGUUGAGGAUCCAUAGCCGACCCUAAAAUUAGGCUUGAUUGUUGUUUUUUCUUUAACCAAUUUGGUGUUGUGGCAUGGGAUUCCUAUCAACAAAUGAAUGUGAUGACUUAAUUUAUUAUUCUUAUCAACAUUACUUUCCUGGAGGGACUAAUCAUAAGGAAGUCAAUUUUGAGCACAACUCAACAUUUUAUGUUAGAUUAAGGUUAAGGCAGGAUGAAUGAAGUGAAGAAAUGGAAUAGGAUAAAUAGAGGUUAAAUAUGCAACUCUUUAGUUUUGUUUUGUUUUGUACAACGCACGACAAGAUUUUCUGAAUGCGCUACUUGUUAUUUCCAAUUGUGAGCAUAGAUUUUUCUAUCCAAUGUAUCACCUCGCAAUCAGCCCAAUCUAGUAGUGAUCACUAAGGUAUGAAGAUUAUCUCAAGCUAGUCACUGUUUUAGUUUGCUUUUGCAAUCCUUAUCUGAUUUAUAUUUGAUUUAUAUAACAUCCAACUGAUUGCUGGAACAAAAAUGUGUACUGGAUUGCUAUUGUUAACAGCAAGUCAAAUAAUAAUAUGCAUGACUUAAUCUGAUUUAUAUGCAUGCUUUGGUUGGCACAUUUCCAUGAUUUAGCUUGCUAUUGGUCAGAUUUGCUAUGGCUUUAUUCCCCCUAACAGAUAAUAGGCAACUACCAGAAAUUCAAAAUGAAAAGUGUGACAGAAAGAGGACUAACCUGUGAUAACCUUUGUGUGGGGUUGUGAUAACCUGGUCCUGUUUUGGACACGUGGAGGUUGCAUGGACAGCAUUGGAUAGAGAAGGGUGAGGUUAAGGUUUUGAAUAGUGUGCAAGUUAAGGAAAUUAACAGCAAACUGAUGAAUCCGUUACCGUUAAUGCAGUUAUUCAUUAUUUUUAAUUUUAUUUUGGGUUGGGGAAGAAAUAGUUGGGCUGGGCUUAUAUGGGCUGGGCCGGAAUACUUAAUGUUAAUUACAGAGUGUCACUUCUUACGACAGCCCACGAAAAGAUACACUCGGGUUGUCUGUGCUUGCUUCUGUGUCUGUAACUUCAAAGGCCUCUGAGUCUAGCUUUGCAAGACUUGGUCUUGGGCAUCAAAUCUUGUAUUCUUGUCCAGCAAAUGCUUUUGUGUGUUUGUAGCUUUUCUUAUACUUGCCUUUUAGCAUGUUUCACUAUAUGAGCACUUUUUUUUUAUAAGAACCUAAAACCUAGUGAAUCUUUCAUUAAAUAAACAAAUACAUCAUUUAUAAAAUGGUCUCAAGUUCUUAAAAGAUCCUAGAAUUGUUAAAAUAGCAAUUUGCUUCAAAUUCCACUUAUACCUUCAAGUUAAUUUUUUGUUUAACUAUGUUGUUACUCAUUUUAUCAUAUUGUUUGUUUAUCACAUGGUCGGAUCCAUAUAUUGUGUUCUUCUUCGAGGUAAGCUUAUCCAUAUACAUUUUCAGGCCAAUCUAAAUUUUGGGCCUCAAAACCUAUUUAUUCCAGGUCCAGUUUGCUUCACCAAAAUAUUGGGUUUGCAAAUUUUCAGUUGGCAAGUAAGUUUGUACAGCCCAAUCAUAAUCUAAGUAGAAGAGAUGUAAUCUCGCUGAGUUUGUAAAUUUGGAUAAAUUUGGAAUGACCUGUUGAGCUGUUGGUACUAGUUUGCUAUGUGAUAUUCUGUUCCUUUAGUCUGAUUGUGAAAUUUUCAUUUUUGUUUUUUUCAGGUGGCUUUGCUGUUAAUUUGGAUUGCUGAUAUAAGGAAACAUGUGAAGAAUUUAGAAUUUGGGAAGGGACAUGUAUAUAAAGCUGUGCAUGUAACCGAUUUUUAUUUCCUUUCACCAACUUUGGCCUUAUAUAGGAUGUAGUAGGAUUUGUUCUGUUCACCUACUACCAUGAUAGAUUGUGCAAAGAACCUUGUUUUUACAAUUUAAAACUCUUACCCCUGUUGACUAUUGAAUUAGAUCAUAUAAAUAUUGAUCGGGUUAAUUUGACUUUUGGUAUCAUAUAAAUUCAUACAAUUAUGAAUUUUUGUGUA